rnacentral:rRNA from 1 species
UACGAAGGGUGCAAGCGUUAAUCGGAAUUACUGGGCGUAAAGGGUGCGUAGGCGGCUCGUUAAGUCUGUCGUGAAAUCCCCGGGCUCAACCUGGGAAUGGCGAUGGAUACUGGCGAGCUAGAGUGUGUCAGAGGAUGGUGGAAUUCCCGGUGUAGCGGUGAAAUGCGUAGAGAUCGGGAGGAACAUCAGUGGCGAAGGCGGCCAUCUGGGACAACACUGACGCUGAAGCACGCAAGCGUGGGGAGCAAACAGG